CUUCGGUAAUGUGGACAGUUGAGUCCUUCUGUCAAGUCAGCUGUGCUCAGAGAUACACCGUGCGAUGCUGCAGUGGCUUUGCUCAUGAAGCCUUCGCCUGGGGAGACAGGCAGUCAGGUUCCUGGGAUGAGGCUGAGCGCCACAGUGAGUGUGAGGACGGACAGCUGAGGCUUUGGGAGCAUCGCAGGGGCCUGGUCUGAGGCCUGAGAAGGAGGGCAGUGGAGUCCAGGAAAGACCCUCAGGGGGAAGCGCCCCUGGAGAGCAGGAGGGACGGUGGAGUGCGCAGGUGGAGGCUCUCAAGCAGGUAUUCCCGAGAGAGAGCGCCUCCUCCGUCACUGUGGAUCUGCGUAGCCCGCAUCACUGAUGUCACCUCUAGGUACUCCUGAGAACGUCUCCUCCAUCACUGUGGAUCCACGUAGUCUGCAUCACUGAGAUGUGUCGCGUCAUUUCUGUCUUCCUGUUGUGCGUUGCUUUGGCUGAAGUAUAGAAAUUGCAUCAAUCCACUGCCUUUCACCCCCGCGAAUAGCUUCCUAGGGCCACUGUAAUAAAUUACUACACAGUGGGUGGCUUAGAACAAUUUUAUUCCUCAGCCUCCUGGAGGCCACACGUCUGAAAUCAGGGUGUCAGCAGGGCAGUGCUCCCUGUGAAGGAUCCAGCGAGAAACUGUUCCAUGGUGUUCUCUUAGGUCCUGGUGUUGCCGACAACCCUUGCUGACCCUCGGCUGGCAGAGGCAUCACUCCCACCUCUGCCUCCGUCAUCACAGGGCCCUCUCCCUAUGUUGCGUGUCUGUCUCUGUGUCGCCUCUCCUCUUCUAAUAAGAACACCAGGAAUACCCACCCACAUGCCGGCACGGUGCUCCAUGCCUGUAAUCCUAGCUCUUUGGGAGGCCAAGGCAGGCAGAUCACUUGAGGCCAGAAGUUUGAGACCAGCCUAGGCAACCUGGCAACACCUCCUCUCUACAAAAAACAAAAAAAUUAGCCAGGUGUGGUGACUUGCACCUGUAGUCCCAGCUACUCAGGAGGCUGAGGUGGGAGGAUCGCUUGAGCCCUGGAGGUCAAGGCUUCAGUGAGCCAUGAUUGCACCACUGCACUCCCGCCUGGGUGACAAAGCAAGACCCUGUCUCAAACAAAACAAAACAAAACAAAAAAACUGAACCACACUACUCCAGUAUGGCCUCGUCUUAACCAAUUAUAUCUACAAUGACCGUCUUUCCAAAUAAAGUCACAUUUUGAGAUUAAAGGGGUUGGGACUUGAACAUGUCCUUUUGGGGGACACAGUUGAACCUACAGCUGUGGUGAGUAAGUGUCUCCAGGCUUUUGAUCUCCAGAAGCGUGUUACUACAUUCUCCUUUCCAUCUCGUGUUGUACAUGUGCAAGAGUUUCUCUUGGCUGGACACACACACGCAUACACAGAAUUGAAUGGCUGGAUCAAAAAGACAUUUACAACACAUGCUCACCAAAGGAAUGUUGCAAAAUGUUCCCCAGUUUGUAACGUCUCUUUUCACUUAAAGUCUUCCUGAUUCACAAAAGUUGUUAAUUUUAAUAUGGUUCAACUUAUUGAUACUUCUUUCAGUUCAUGUUUAAAAUAUCCUUUCCUAUCCCAUAGUUGAAAAGAUAUUCACUUACAUUUUAUUUUAUUUUAUUUUUUGUGGUGGAGUUUCGCUCUGUUGCUCAGGCUGGAGUGCAAUGGCCCGAUCUCUGCUCACCACAACCUCCGCCUCCUGGGUUCAAGCAAUUCUCCUGCCUCAGCCUCCCGAGUAGCUGGGAUUACAGGCAUGCACUACCACACCCGGCUAAUUUUGUAUUUUUAGAAGAGACGAGGUUUCUCCAUGUUGGCCAAGGCUGGUCUCGAACUCCCAAACUCAGGUGAUCCGCCCACCUUGGCCUCCCAAAGUGCUGGGAUUAUAGGCUGGGCCACUGAGCCCAGCCUUUCACUUACACUUUAUACUAGGAAUUUUUAAGUUUUGUUUUUGACAGAUGAACCUUGAUCCAUCAGGAGUUGCUUUUUGCAUAUAGUGUAAGAUAG
rnacentral:lncRNA from 10 species